UAAGGCUCCAGCUUGCUGGGGUACACGAGUAGGCGAACGGGUGGAGUACACACGUAGGGUAGACCUAGCCCUGCACUUCGGGAUAAGCCUAGGGAAACUAGGGUCUAAUACCGGAUAGGACCGCACCUGUGAGGGUGUGGUGGACAAGUUUUUUCGGUGUGGGAUGGGCCCGCGGCCUAUCAGCUUGUUGGUGGGGUAAUGGCCUACCAAGGCGGCGACGGGUAGCCGGCCUGAGAGGGUGGACGGCCACAUUGGGACUGAGACACGGCCCAGACUCCUACGGGAGGCAGCAGUGGGGAAUAUUGCACAAUGGGGCGGAAGCCUGAUGCAGCGACGCCGCGUGGGGGAUGUACGGCCUUCGGGUUGUAAACUCCUUUCACCAUCGACGAAGGGUUUCUGACGGUAGAUGGAGAAGAAGCACCGGCUAACUACGUGCCAGUAGCCCGGUAAUACGUAGGGUGCGAGCGUUGUCCGGAAUUACUGGGCGUAAAGAGCUCGUAGGUGGUUUGUCGCGUCGUCUGUGAAAUUCCGGGGCUUAACUCCGGGCGUGCAGGCGAUACGGGCAUAACUUGAGUACUGUAGGGGAGACUGGAAUUCCUGGUGUAGCGGUGAAGUGCGCAGAUAUCAGGAGGAACACCGGUGGCGAAGGCGGGUCUCUGGGCCAGUAACUGACGCUGAGGAGCGAAAGCAUGGGGAGCGAACAGGAUUAGAUACCCUGGUAGUCCAUGCCGUAAACGGUGGGCGCUAGGUGUGGGUUUCCUUCCACGGGAUCCGUGCCGUAGCUAACGCAUUAAGCGCCCCGCCUGGGGAGUACGCCGCAAGGCUA
rnacentral:rRNA from 1 species